rnacentral:misc_RNA from 1 species
GGUGAAGUACAUAGGCGUAGGAACGUGUGUACACCCCUGGGGUGGGGCUCUCGCAGGACUGCUGCGGGAGGCAGCCGACGGUGAACACUCGAUACGACACGGUCGAUCGAACCAGUCGUAAUUUUAGUAUGAAACUGUUAUCUAAAAAUGAACGACUCAACGACACUCGCUAUUCUUUUCGCGAAACUCUCACGGGACUCGAGAGACGUGGGAGUGGGAUAACUGGAAUCGAAGGUUCUAAUACUUUUUGCCGAUACUUGAGACAAGAGGAGUAUAUAGAUAUAGAUAUAAAAGGUAUACAGUAUGUUUUAACGAGAUGUGAUUGGAUAGAUUUUUAAAUAUAAAUUGAUUAUAGAUAAGAUGCUGAUAUUCGGUUUUGGAAAAAUGUAUACAUAUAAGGACGUUGUUGAAUUAGAAGUUAUAAUUUAAGUAUCCAGGACGUUUCAAGAAAGUUGAAGAAAAAUUUGGAUUAUGAAUUUUUUAAUAAUUAAG